AUGAGUCCUCUUGAUGACCAAAACUCAAGAAAAUUAUUUUUCAGUAGAGUUGGACAGAUUGAUCUUCAGCCAUUAGAUGAGAUUUCGAAUGAAAUUCUACAAAAAUGUGGUGGUCUCCCGCUUGCUAUUGUCAGUAUUGCUAGUCUUUUUGCCGGUCAACCAACUAGAUCAGUGUCACAAUGGAAGCAUGUGUGCAAUUCUUUAAGCUCAAAUAUGAGAACAAAUCCAAGUUUGGAGGGCAUGAGACAGGUACUGAACCUUAGCUACAACAAUCUUCCUCAUCGUCUGAAAACUUGUUUGUUGUAUAUUGCCAUGUACCCAGAGGAUUACAUUAUUGCAAAGAAUGAUCUUGGAAGGCAAUGGGUGGCUGAAGGUUUCAUCGGCAAAAUACAUGGCAAGGAUGCAAAUGAGGUCGCUGAAAGUUGCUUUAAUGAGCUUGUCAAUAUGAACAUGAUCCAACCUACUCCCUCCGUUCGGAAAUUCUUGUCUUAG
rnacentral:rRNA from 1 species